AUCAAUAAUACUUACAGUCCGAUACGCUCAAAGCGGCACUGUAGAUCGGCAAAUUUGGGUUUUCUGCUCCUGUUCACCAUUCCAAAUCGCGUGCCAUGUCAAUUCCCUUUUUCUUCUUUGUUCUGCCGAUUCCCUUUUUCUUCUUUGUUCUGUUGCGCUACUAAUUCCCUUUUCCUUCUUUGUUCUGUCGAUUCCCUUUUUCUUCUUUGUUCUGUUGCGUUUCUCAUUCCUUUUCCUGUUUUGUUUUGAUACAUUUAAUGCCUUUUCGAUUUCCUUUUUGAUCUCCUUUUCAAUUUCCUUUGUCUUCUUUCGCGUUCAAUUUGCUACAUGGAUGGGUUUGGGUAAGCUUUUCGCCCACUUGCUUGUUUUACGUUCGUCUGGAUUCAGCGGAAAGGUAUUUGUCGGAAUACUUUCCAUUUUGUGACGGAUGCAGGCUGAAAGGGAUUUGGCAGAAGGUUCUUGCCAGAUUUGUUUCAUCGAGGAGUUUAUGUCCGACCUAUUUGUGCAUACAAGGUGAGUUUUGCUUAACAACCAUUCUCUUUUAAGGUUGCUGUUUUGAUUGUUUUUAUCAUGUGAUCAAAGCAUUCUUACCAUGCUUUAGAAUUUGUCAACCCUGUUUUCUUAAUUUUCAGACUGCAGUUAACAGUAUGUUUCUUAAUCAUGUUUUCAUUUUGUUCAUAGUAUUCAUAUUUGUGGAAUAUUUAUUUACUUUCAUACAUCUUUUGCAUGACUUGUUUGUGCAGUUGAUUCGAAUUUGUUCUUUCUGUAGCCUUUCUAUUUUGUGUUGGUUGGUUUGUGUUUCUUUUUUUAUUUUUUUCAGUGACAAUCGAGUUGUGCUUUUGCCUCCGAUGAACGGUUGUGGCAACGACGAGUCUCUUCCUUCCGGCGACAGCCGAUUGUGUAUUAGGCAACUUUAAAGAAUAUUGCACACACUAAUCAACUGAGGUUAUUAUUUCUUCAUAUUCAUCAAGGGAGAUAUUAACUCAGCUGAAUUUACUUUGACGAAUCUCUACGCAACAAGCUAUGUGAAGGCAAUGCUGCUCUAUCAUAUGCGGAGCUCCAACAAACAAGGCAGAACUACACAGUGGCUAAAGAGAUUUAUCAGCAUGUUUUAGAAGGAGCCAGUGAACUUGAAAAGAGUGGCAAUGUAUACUUAGGAGGUGGUAACCUGAACAUGGAGGGUUUAAUGAUGCAGGCCAUGUGUGGUUUAGGACAACUUGGAUCACAUUUGAGGUAGGCUUAAUUUUUCUUUUUAUGGUUUUCCUUACCAUGUGUU